UACGGAGGGUGCAAGCGUUAUCCGGAUUUACUGGGUUUAAAGGGUGUGUAGGCGGACUUUUAAGUCAGCGGUGAAAUCUCCGGGCUCAACCCGGAAACUGCCAUUGAUACUAUUGGUCUUGAAUGUUGUUGAGGUGGGCGGAUCGGGUCAUGUAGCGGUGAAAUGCAUAGAUAUGACCCGGAACACCGAUUGCGAAGGCAGCCCACUAAGCAAUGAUUGACGCUGAGGCACGAAAGCGUGGGGAUCAAACAGG
rnacentral:rRNA from 1 species